UUGCUAUGAUGGUACUAUUUUUCGUCAACAGACUUUCACCUCUGAAUGUUGAAAGCAAUUUUUUCUGAGCAU